CCUACGGUGCGCAGCAGUGAGGAAUAUUGGUCAAUGGGCGCGAGCCUGAACCAGCCAAGUAGCGUGAAGGAUGACUGCCCUAUGGGUUGUAAACUUCUUUUAUAAAGGAAUAAAGUGAGGCACGUGUGCCUGUUUGCAUGUACCUUAUGAAUAAGGAUCGGCUAACUCCGUGCCAGCAGCCGCGGUACUACGGAGGAUCCGAGCGUUAUCCGGAUUUCUUGGGUUUAAAGGGAGCGUAGACGGGUUGUUAAGUCAGUUGGGAAAGUCUGCGGCUCAACCGUAGAAUUGCAGUUGAUACUGGCGGGAUUGAGUACAGUUGAGGGAGGCGGAAUUCGUGGUGUAGCGGUGAAAUGCUUAGAUAUCACGAAGAACUCCGAUUGCGAAGGCAGCUUACUAAGCUGCCACUGACGUUGAUGCUCGAAAGUGUGGGUAUCGAACAGGAUUAGAUACCCGGGUAGUC
rnacentral:rRNA from 1 species